ACCCCGAUAUUAUUGCUGUUAUGGGUUUGAAUCGAGCUUAGCCUUGUUCAUUUUUUUACACAACACCCCCGUAAAAAAUACAACACGGCCCGCUCAAGCCUGCCGGUCCCAAGACUGUGAAACCCAAAAAACCGCCCCAAAAAGCCCCAAAAAAGGCGCCGUGGCGCUUUUUCAGGGCAA
rnacentral:sRNA from 1 species